UAUACCUCUCAAAAUAUUUGAAAUAUUUUAUAUACCCUACUAUUUUUUUGUUUCAAAUACAUCUAUCAUAUAUUUCUCCAUUAUUCAAAAAUAACUCCGCUGCUAAUAAAUAUUAAGUCAUCUCGGAUUAAACUUGGAUUAAGUUUCUACAUAAUUAAAAAAAGUCAAAAUACCUCUAACUUAACAGCAAAUUAAAAGUGUUGAUGACAAUAAAAAAAAAAUAUUUAAGAGAGAAAAAUAGUAAUUUAAC
rnacentral:lncRNA from 1 species